AAGUCGUAACAAGGUUUCCGUAGGUGAACCUGCGGAAGGAUCAUUAUUGAAUUUGAAAGAGGUAUUGUUGCUGGUCUUUCGGGACAUGUGCACGCCUCGCUCAUCUCCAUUCACACCUGUGCACUCUUUGUAGGUUGGUUUUGGACUUGACCUUACGGUCUCGUUUAAGCUUGCCUAUGAUUUUAUACAUACACUCAGUUUAUAGAAUGUCAUUGCGUUAAACGCAUUAUAUACAACUUUCAGCAACGGAUCUCUUGGCUCUC
rnacentral:misc_RNA from 1 species